rnacentral:rRNA from 1 species
UACGUAGGGUGCGAGCGUUGUCCGGAAUUAUUGGGCGUAAAGAGCUUGUAGGCGGUUUGUCGCGUCUGCUGUGAAAUUUCGGGGCUCAACCCCGAACUUGCAGUGGGUACGGGCAGACUAGAGUGUGGUAGGGGAGACUGGAAUUCCUGGUGUAGCGGUGAAAUGCGCAGAUAUCAGGAGGAACACCGAUGGCGAAGGCAGGUCUCUGGGCCGAUACUGACGCUGAGGAGCGAAAGCGUGGGGGAGCGAACAGG